GCUCGUGCCGAACACGAGCGAACUAAUCCUAACUCGUGUUCAACUCGUUUAUUUAAACAAACGAUCGAUUUCGAGCUCAUUUUAAGUUGAAUACAAACUGGCCCACGAAUAGCGCGCUAGAUUGUCAGCCCUAUUCUCAUUCCACCCUGAAAUUAAAAUAAUCCAAUUCAUUAGACCCAAUCCACCAUUGAAUUCUGAAUUGGCACAUCCCAAAUAAAAAAAUCUCUCAAAACCCUCUGGCUCCCUCCUCCUAUCCCUUCAUCGCCCUUCUCUUUUUUAACCAAAGCACUCUCUCAAAAUUUUAGAUGUCUCAAUUAAUCGUUUCAAUUUUUAUGCUAAUAAUAAAUCAACGUUAUUAAAUGACUUGUCAUUUUCACUUCAAACAUGCCUUAAAUAUUAUACAUAAUACAGAGUACAAAAAUUUUUGGCAUAUUCUUGAUUCGACUGUUCAUCCAAAAUGUAUUAUUUGAUCGGAUUGCAGACGUUUACCACUAGGGGCAUGUUUGUUUCGGCGAAAAUGGACUUUGGGUUGAAGUGGAGUUCAGUGAAAAUUAUUUUUUCUUCGCUGUUUGUUUUGUAGUUAUGCAAGUGAAAUUUCAUUAGUUCUGCUAUUUGUUUGGUAGGAAGUGUAUGAUAUAAAACUAUAAUUUAUAUAUAAAUAAUAAAUAAUUUAACAAAUAAAAAUAAUAUAUGUUGAAAGGAGAGGU
rnacentral:lncRNA from 1 species